rnacentral:rRNA from 1 species
UACGAAGGGGGCUAGCGUUGCUCGGAAUCACUGGGCGUAAAGCGCACGUAGGCGGGUCGUUAAGUCGGGGGUGAAAUCCUGGAGCUCAACUCCAGAACUGCCUUCGAAACUGACGAUCUUGAGUUCGGGAGAGGUGAGUGGAACUGCGAGUGUAGAGGUGAAAUUCGUAGAUAUUCGCAAGAACACCAGUGGCGAAGGCGGCUCACUGGCCCGAUACUGACGCUGAGGCCCGAAAGCAUGGGGAUCAAACAGG